AGGACGAACGCUGGCGGCGUGCCUAACACAUGCAAGUCGAACGGGGGUAGCAAUACCCCAGUGGCGAACGGGUGCGUAACACGUGAAGAACUUGUCCAUCGGCGGGGGAUAGCCGGCCCAACGGCCGGGUAAUACCGCGUACGUCGUCCGGAGCGCAUGCUCUGGCCGGGAAAGCAGCAAUGCACCGAUGGAGAGCUUCGCGGCCUAUCAGCUUGUUGGCGGGGUAAUGGCCCACCAAGGCAACGACGGGUAGCUGGUCUGAGAGGAUGAUCAGCCACAUUGGGACUGAGACACGGCCCAGACUCCUACGGGAGGCAGCAGUGGGGAAUAUUGCGCAAUGGGCGAAAGCCUGACGCAGCGACGCCGCGUGUGGGAUGACGGCCUUCGGGUGUAACCACUGUCGCGAGGGACGAAAAAAUGACGGUACCUCGAAAGGAAGCACCGGCUAACUCUGCGCCAGCAGCCGCGGUAA
rnacentral:rRNA from 1 species